GUAUUACCGGGAGUUCCCUUCAAGCUCUUUAUGAAGCACCUUUUCAGGUACUAUCUUUGUGAAGUGCUUUGGGGAACUCUUGGCCCAAC
rnacentral:pre_miRNA from 1 species